rnacentral:rRNA from 1 species
AGUGAACGCUGGCGGUAGGCCUAACACAUGCAAGUCGAACGGCAGCACAGGAGAGCUUGCUCUCUGGGUGGCGAGUGGCGGACGGGUGAGGAAUACAUCGGAAUCUACUUUUUCGUGGGGGAUAACGUAGGGAAACUUACGCUAAUACCGCAUACGACCUACGGGUGAAAGCAGGGGACCUUCGGGCCUUGCGCGAUUGAAUGAGCCGAUGUCGGAUUAGCUAGUUGGCGGGGUAAAGGCGCACCAAGGCGACGAUCCGUAGCUGGUCUGAGAGGAGGAUCGGCCACACUGGAACUGAGACACGGUCCAGACUCCUACGGGAGGCAGCAGUGGGGAAUAUUGGACAAUGGGCGCAAGCCUGAUCCAGCCAUACCGCGUGGGUGAAGAAGGCCUUCGGGUUGUAAAGCCCUUUUGUUGGGAAAGAAAUCCAGCUGGCUAAUACCCGGUUGGGAUGACGGUACCCAAAGAAUAAGCACCGGCUAACUUCGUGCCAGCAGCCGCCGUAA